GCAGGGGAGCUCACGGCGGGCCGGGCCCGCACAUGCGCAGUCCCGCCUGCGCCCGGGCCGCGGGAGACGGAGCCCCGCGCAUUGGCGGGAAAAAGCCUCGAGGCUUCCGCGGGCGGAAAGGAAGGUCUGGUGCUAGUCUGGCCCUGGGCUCAGGCCCAGCCGAAGGACGCGCUUGUCGGCAGGAGGCGGGAGGGAAGAUUGUUCUCAGGUUCACAGGCCAUGAAAAUAAAUGGAAACUCUCUCAAGGACUAACAAUCAGAGCUGCCUGGUUGACGAGGGAGGUUUUGGUUACAAGAAGACCCUGAAGCAAGGAUUCUAAAUCAAAGAUUUAGGGGCAAUCUGAGUUUGCAUUUAAGAUCCUUCUGCCUUUAGCAGUAGCUUAUGUGUUAUGUCCAAUUGACAUGUAAGCACAGUGAAGAAAUAUUCCAUUACAAUCUCUGAUGACAUUAGAACUGUGUAUUUCAUAAUGUAUUGUAGAUAGAUAUUUAGUUUAUUUAACUCAAAUUAUGACUCUUUCUUAAGAGCAGAACUUGAAAAUUAAAUUUAUUAUGUAAUUGACUUAAGUAUUUAUUGCGUACCUAUUCCAUACUUAGCAGUGAGCAAGGUGUUAUAAGAUAAAAUGUGUAGAAAACUAAGUCCCUUUCCACAGGCUAAUUGUUUUCUGUUUCAAGUAAGAAAUAUGAAGUGAUGUCUUCAAUGGUUGUUCGAUUUAUAUUGCAAAUGUAAUUACUUUGACUAGAUGAUUUUACCAACCGAGAUUGAAGCUGUGAGGAAUUGCCAUGAAAAAACAACAAAAACAAAAAACCUUAAUGAUAGUCAUCCUCCCAUCUCAAAAUAAGAGAAUUGAUUUGGCUUAACCUGUGGAAAAUAAGUCCUUUGGAGUCUGCAUUUCCAAGGAGUUGCAAUUGGCUUUGCAUGUAGAGGUUACUCUCCUUUAUAAAAUGAACUUGUGUGUUCAAAUCAGUUGCUGGGGCAGAGCAAAUUUCUCCAUCAGUCAAACAAAAGUUCAGUGAUAGGAAAGAAAGUUGAAGUAAUUUGUGAGUAUCCUUUCCUCUUUGUGCUUAGAGAAUGCACGUGCAUUUCUGCAGCAAAGGAAAAAAUUAAAGGAAAACAUUCUCCUCAAGAAUCUUCCUUUGAAUUUCAUACGUAGACUUAGAAAACAGUAUCACUAUCAUCGCUUACUCUCAAUAAUACUUUUCAGUCAUGUGUGAGGUGUUUCAUUUACAGAAAGACUGCUGAUUUAGGUAAAACUUUAAAAAGCAAAAAUAAUGAUUACAAUGAUACAUAGACUCCUGAACUAGAUUUUUUGUUUGUACGAUCAAAUAUUGUGUGGAUGGAAUUUUUUCCCAGUCUUCAUUUUUCCUUUGUAAAUGUCUUUACAAAACCAGUACAGUUUGUGGAAAAACUCUUUCAUUUAUCAGUCUAACUAGGUAACUAAAGUUCUAAUCUGUGUCUAACACCUCAGAGUUUAAUUUUUAUUCACUUCCCUUUUGAUGGUACAUGGGCAUUCUUGUUUAAUUAGUGAUACAAGUGGUAGAAUCUGAGGUCUCACAUUAUUUGCCAAAGUCACUGGGUCAUCUCCUUCAAGCUGAUCAGAUGGGCUUUCUUUCUACCAUCCUAUUAUAGGAGGUUUUUGUAAACUAGUGUUAUAAACGAUUAUUUUUAGUUAAGAGAAGCCCCAGGAAAGAUUAAAAAAAUGGAUAUAAAGACAUUCCAGUUCUUGAUCUUAUCUUUUUCUCAUCUCAACCUUUAGAGAGUCUUGCUGGAAGAACACAAGGAAAGGCAGGAAGGCUUCUUACAGAUCUUUGAGACCUCCUUCCACUCAAAUCCCAGGGGAGCUAGAACGCUAUACCUCUGUGGUUCAAAAAGUCUUUGGACCAGUAAAGGGGCCUUUAUCUGCCAACAUUUCAAACAUAUUCAAUCAAAUAUUGAUCUAGAAAAUCAGCUACUUUUUCCUCUAGCAAAGAAAUUAAAUUAGUACUACCUACUGAAGGCCUAUACAUGGUCCUCGGGAAGAUAAUGAUGGUACCCUAGGCUAUUCCUAGGAUCAAAAGUUUAUAUGGACACCAAACUGAUUUAACAUUUUCUGUAAUGCAUGGAGACAAAAGGGUGAAAGAUCUGCUUGCCAAUAGUAAUGUGCUGGAGAUUAUCUCAUGUGGCGAGUCCUUGCAUCAAGAAGCCAGGUUAUGGUUUUCAAAUCCAUCUCAUCUCUGAAAAUAAAAGGAACGGAACGUGGCCUAUUUCA
rnacentral:lncRNA from 1 species